rnacentral:rRNA from 1 species
UACGUAGGGUGCAAGCGUUAAUCGGAAUUACUGGGCGUAAAGCGUGCGCAGGCGGUUUUGUAAGUCUGUUGUGAAAUCCCCGGGCUCAACCUGGGAAUGGCAAUGGAGACUGCAAGGCUAGAGUUUGGCAGAGGGGGGUAGAAUUCCACGUGUAGCAGUGGAAAUGCGUAGAUAUGAUGGAGGAACACCGAUGGCGAAGGCAGCCCCCUGGGUCAAAACUGACGCUCAUGCACGAAGCGUGGGGAGCAAACAGG